rnacentral:lncRNA from 9 species
AUACUCCAAUCUAGCUAGAGAGCUCAAGAGCAAGAAACCUGAUUCACAUGAGUAAAACUUCUCUCUCAUCCAGUGAUAUUGCCUUGGGUGGUAUCUUGCCCCUGUGUUAACAGAGUGAAUACAAAGACUUUCAAAAUCUUUGUGUUUCAAAAACACAAAGGAUUUAAAAAUCCUGCCAACGCAACUUGAAACCAAGUUAAGGAUUUUCUUUGGGCCACGAGUGAAAGACGUGAAACAAUUUCUUUCCUGAGAUGAUGACCUACCCAAGAGAUUGCUGUAGAAAAUUACCUAUAAUGAAUGAAAAUCACAAAGAAUCUCAACCCAAAGUAGACCACGUGGACAACAACUUCGCAACUUGCCUUCUCAAGCUCUUAGUGAUGGUUCUUAUUUUUUAUGUAUUCCGGGAGGAAUGUUUUGGAAAUAAGAAAAGAAAAGGAAAUGAUCAACUUAAGGAAAAUGAUCAACUUGGGGAGGAAAAUGAUCAACUGAAGGAAAAUGGUAAACUUUUAUGACUCUUUACAAAAUAUGAUCUCCCUAUUAACCGUUUCAUAAGAAGUCUUAUAUUACUCUUUUUAUUUUUCAGAUCAACUUGGGGAGGAAAAUGGUAAACUUUUAUGACUCUUUGCAAAAUAUGAUCUCCCUAUUAACCGUUUCAUAAGAAGUCUUAUAUUACUCUUUUUACUUUUCAGAUCAACUUAGGAAGGAAAAUGGUAAACUUUUAUGACUCUACAAAAUAUGAUCUCCCUAUUAACCAUUUCAUAAGAAGUCUUAUAUUACUCUUUUUAUUUUUCAGAUCAACUUAGGAAGGAAAAUGGUAAACUUUUAUGACUCUUUACAAAAUACGAUCUCCCUAUUAACUGUUUCAUAAGAAGUCUUAUAAUACUCUUUUUGUUUUUCGGAUCAACUUAAGGAAAUAAAUGGUAAACUUUAAUGACCAUUUAUGUGAUUUUUCUAUAGCGAUUUUUCCUGCUUCCUUGCUUUUCCAUUCCUCCCUCUGUAUCAUUUUCUCUUUUGUGAUUUUUAUUCAUUCUUACUAUAUUACAUCUUCCAUUGCUUCUUUCUCUCUUUGUUCUUCUUCAUCAGUUAACUCACUUUUCCUACUGACCCUUCUCUUUAUCUAAUGCAUUAUUUUUCUUACUGUCUCCCUGAUGCUAACAAUAAUAACUCCUUCUCAUGGCUCUGAGAUGAAUGAAAUUCUAAUACGAAAAGAUAUUUGAAAGUGCUCUCAUAGUGCUUUUGUGUCCACAAGCUGAUUUUAAGAAAAAUUCAAAAGCUCUUCUAUGCAAGACACUUUUAAGAAGUACAGUCGAUUGUUCCUUGUAGAGCACACCAUUGUUCUCUACCUUGAGAUUGAAGCCUCACCUGGCUGGACCAGGAGUGGAGAUUUAUGGCAUAGUGAUAUGGAGACUUUGCUUUGCAUUUUAACAGACCUGGGUUCAAUCACUGAUCUGUUCAUUGACCAGCAGAAACUUCUCCAUGUUAUUGACCCCUUUUAUUCUCAGAUCUUUCUUUUGUGAACAGAGAGCACUAAUUUACAAUUAUUUUGUAAUAUUAUCAGUAUUACAUAAAGCCUUAGCAAAUAUUUAAGUCAUUGGAAACACCAAAUAAUUGUAGCUUCUUUUGCACAGAUGAUAUAGAGCAUGACAGCAUUGCAGAGGAUGAUAACCAUGAAUAUCAGCAUUCCAAAUUAGAUUAAAAACAAUACUUCAUGGGGGAUUUGAUAAUUUCCCUCUUGAAUUUUACCUGUAAAAUUAUUUGUCUAUUUAGCACGUAAUAUGUUUUCUUAUUUUCUUUCUUUUUUGGGGAAACAUGUGCUGGAGAAAACUGAGGAUUUUAAAACCUUGAUGAGUUAAUUUAUGUCUUUGUAUAUAAUCCUUCCAAGCAGUUUAAUUUUUCUUUUAAAAUAUUUACUUAAAAAAAAAA